GUGGUUUUACUGUUCAUUUGCUUGUGUGUAUAGCUCGUAGAUGGGAGGAUCACUUCA
rnacentral:sRNA from 1 species